GAUUCAUGAUAACUCGUCGAAUCGCACGGCCUUGCGCCGGCGAUGGUUCAUUCAAAUUUCUUCCCUAUCAACUUUCGAUGUUUGGGUAGUGGCCAAACAUGGUGGCAACGGGUAACGGAGGGUUAGGGCUCGACCCCGGAGAAGGAGCCUGAGAAACGGCUACUACAUCCAAGGAAGGCAGCAGGCGCGCAAAUUACCCAAUCCCGAUACGGGGAGGUAGUGACAAUAAAUACUGAUACAGGGCUCUUUUGGGUCUUGUAAUUGGAAUGAGUACAAUUUAAAUCCCUUAACGAGGAACAAUUGGAGGGCAAGUCUGGUGCCAGCAGCCGCGGUAAUUCCAGCUCCAAUAGCGUAUAUUAAAGUUGUUGUGGUUAAAAAGCUCGUAGUUGAAUCUUGGGCCAGGCUGGCCGGUCCGCCUCACCGCGUGUACUGGUCCGGCCGGGUCUUUCACUCUGCGGAACCACAUGCCCUUCAGUGGGUGUGUUGGGGAACCAGGACUUUUAC
rnacentral:rRNA from 1 species